GACGAACGCUGGCGGCGUGCUUAACACAUGCAAGUCGAACGGAAAGGCCCUGCUUUUGUGGGGUGCUCGAGUGGCGAACGGGUGAGUAACACGUGAGUAACCUGCCCUUGACUUUGGGAUAACUUCAGGAAACUGGGGCUAAUACCGGAUAGGAGCUCCUGCUGCAUGGUGGGGGUUGGAAAGUUUCGGCGGUUGGGGAUGGACUCGCGGCUUAUCAGCUUGUUGGUGGGGUAGUGGCUUACCAAGGCUUUGACGGGUAGCCGGCCUGAGGGGGUGACCGGCCACAUUGGGACUGAGACGCGGCCGAGACUCCUGCGGGGGGCAGGAGUGGGGAAUAUUGCAAAAUGGGCGGAAGCCUGAUGCAGCAGCGCCGCGUGCGGGAUGACGGCCUUCGGGUUGAAAACCGCUUUCGCCUGUGACGAAGCGUGAGUGGCGGUAAUGGGUAAAGAAGCACCGGCAAACUACG
rnacentral:rRNA from 1 species